AGUUCCGAAAAUCAACUUCCGUUGAUCCUGAUCAUAACAACGUUUGUUUUCAUGGAAAAAAAAUAUGGCGACUAAGAAACACUUAAUGUCAACAAGAUUUUCUGAUUGACAAAAGAAAAGGUCAAACAGGAACUUCAACUGUGAACAUUGCAAAGAACAAACUCAUCAGAAGAUGACCCUCAGAAAAAGGACAAUUAAUGAAUAAAAUGGACAGAGGCAGAACUGAAGGAGAUGCAUGAAAUGUGGAAUAUUUCAAAGAUUGCCUGAGCAUAACCACUGCUACUGGAUAAACAUAUGGCAAUAUAAAAGAGCAGGGUCAAUGGAGGUAUCAUACAGUAUAGGCCAUGAGAGACCCUGAAGAAGAAAGUAUUGAACAGAAACAAAAAUAAAAACAUUUUGACAUUUAUUGAAAUAUAGGAUCAAAGUCUUACAUGUAAAAUUUGGGCAUGUAAUGACUUUUCUCAAGCUCUAAGACUUAUAACAGUGAUGAUUUGAUUUAAUAUCUUUAUCCCGAUUUGUCGAAAAUAUUUGGACAAAGUGCAUCAAUUAUUUUAAAGUUUUGAUACAACGAAUUCAUUCAUUGUACUUGUAACUGAGUUUUCUGGUGCUACACUGUUUUAUCGGCUUCAAACCUAAGUUUGUGAUUUCCAAACUAGAUUAAUGAGAUCAUGUAAUAUCUUUUAACAUCGGUGACUAUUUAAUCCAUUCUUUUACAUCUCAGAAGUAUUUUUAUUAUUAUAGGGAAAGUAUGCAUUGUACAUGUAUCUGUAAUAAACAGGAUUAUAGAAAUUUUUCCAUAUAAAACAACACAGUCUUAGCAACUGAAGGCAAAUAUUUUAUCAAGGGUGUGAUCUAUUUAUCAGUAUGGUUUUCAGCAUCUUGUUCUACCUGUAAUGACUUGCUCCAAGUUCCAAUAUUUAAAUUUAAAUUUUACAAACAUGGAUUUAAAAUUCUUUAAAAGCCAAAUAGUUUAGGCACAAAAUGCUUAUAUAUUUCCUAUCAUUUGUAAAGUGUACACUGAAUGAGAUGUGGAAUGUUCGAAUUAAAGUAUUAAAUAUGUUUUGGACUUAUGUAUGCUUAUGCAGAUAAAUUUGAAUUCAACUAGGGAAGGUAAAUGUCAUACUUAUUAGGUUUGCAAUCUAAUGCAAGAAUAUAAAUAUCCAAGACAAA